rnacentral:rRNA from 1 species
UACAGAGGUCUCAAGCGUUGUUCGGAUUCAUUGGGCGUAAAGGGUGCGUAGGCGGCGCGGUAAGUCGGGUGUGAAAUUUCGAGGCUUAACUUCGAAACUGCAUUCGAUACUGCCGUGCUUGAGGACUGGAGAGGAGACUGGAAUUUACGGUGUAGCGGUGAAAAUGCGUAGAUAUCGUAAGGAAGACCAGUGGCGAAGGCGGGUCUCUGGACAGUUCCUGACGCUGAGGCACGAAGGCCAGGGGAGCAAACGGG